rnacentral:sRNA from 1 species
GCCAGGCGCGGUGGCUCACACCUGUAAUCCCAGCACUUUGGGAGGCUGAGGCGGGUUCAUCAUUUGAGGUCAGGAGUUUCAGACCAGCCUGGCCAACAUGGUGAAACCCUGUCUCUACUAAAAAUACAAAAAAUUAGCUAGGCCUGUUGGCUCACGCCAGUAAUCCCAGCUACUCGGGAGACCAAGGCACGAAAAUCACUUGAAUUCGGGAGGCGGAGGUUGCAGUGAGCCGAGAUCGUGCCACUGUACUCCAGCUUGGCCAACAGAGUGAGACUCUGUCUCA